AAAAAAAAGAGAAAAAAAAGAGAAAAGAAAAACAAAAGAGAAAAAUGCACUUGCCGAGACUUAAGACUCUAACACAUAUAAAAUGCUCGAAAAAUUUGAGUAGAAAAAGAUACAAAAGAGUGAAAUUAACCCCCAGAGUAUACGUGAUGCACGAGAAAAAGAGAAAGAAAAAUCACACAACAUGACUACCGAGUUCAAAACCCUUUGUUAUCCAUUUUUUU
rnacentral:lncRNA from 1 species